AGGCGAGGCAAGCAGCAGAGCUAACGAAACAUACAUUUUAACCUCGGGAGCAGUGCAAAAACAAACAGGAUACAAUGGUGUAAGAGAAAAUGGAUUUCAUCCAUACCGAAAGUGAAAAGGAUGAAAAAAUUGUGCUGGGUGUGCGAAAGAAAGUGUCAAGACAAAUUUAAUACGCCAUUCUACGCUAGGCAGAUACGGAGAUGAUCAUCCAGGUGUCAACUGAUGCCAACCGUCAGCUGAACAACACGUUACUUCCAUUGAACGCUAUUGGAAGCUGAAGAACUGAUUGAAGUUAUGCCUUUCUUCUCGGUGUUGCCAUGUGGUUGGCCUAUUGUUGCGUAUUGACUCUCUUUACAUCGAAUGAGCGGUGGCAAGAAUUGACUUACACAAGACGCACGUGCUCCCAAACCUCCUCACAACAUCUGAAAAUGGCAGGGUUUCUUCUGCAGCUUCAAAUUGCGACGACUGGGCUUUAACGCAACGAGGCCAAUCAUUUUGCGCAAGAUAAACAUUUCCGACGGGAGAGUGCAGCCGAAAUCGAUGGUCGAAGGCA